UGGUGGAGCGAUUUGUCUGGUUAAUUCCGACAACGAACGAGACUCUGACCUACUAAAUAGUUGGCAGUUCAAUAAGACUGCAAAACUUCUUAGAGGGACUAGCGGUGCUAACCGCACGAGAUUGAGCAAUAACA
rnacentral:rRNA from 1 species